rnacentral:rRNA from 1 species
AUUGAACGCUGGCGGCAUGCCUUACACAUGCAAGUCGAACGGUAACAGGUCUUCGGACGCUGACGAGUGGCGAACGGGUGAGUAAUACAUCGGAACGUGCCUAGUAGUGGGGGAUAACUACUCGAAAGAGUGGCUAAUACCGCAUGAGAUCUACGGAUGAAAGCAGGGGAUCGCAAGACCUUGUGCUACUAGAGCGGCCGAUGGCAGAUUAGGUAGUUGGUGGGAUAAAAGCUUACCAAGCCGACGAUCUGUAGCUGGUCUGAGAGGACGAUCAGCCACACUGGGACUGAGAAACGGCCCAGACUCCUACGGGAGGCAGCAGUGGGGAAUUUUGGACAAUGGGCGCAAGCCUGAUCCAGCAAUGCCGCGUGCAGGAUGAAGGCCUUCGGGUUGUAAACUGCUUUUGUACGGAACGAAAAGCCCCGGGUUAAUACCCUGGGGUCAUGACGGUACCGUAAGAAUAAGCACCGGCUAGCUUCGUGCCAGCAGCCGCAGUAA